GGGGCCGGGAGCCGGGGCCGGGGCCGGUGCGGCCUGGCCCUGGCGGUGCGGCUGGUGGGUCUGUGGGGCGGGAGGGCGUUUGCCGGGGCCGCAGUCCGGGCAGCUCUGCCUCCUCUUGCGGGAGUUGUUGCUCACAUGCCUGCGACAUUUUAUGCUGAUUUCUCCUGUUCCCGAAAUGCUAUUUAAGUUACAUUAGCAACAGCAGCUAACAUCAGGUAAAGCAGCCUCAUGUAACGCACCUUGCGCAACGUAGCUGGCCAGCUCUGCUGCUCUGCUGGCUGAUGCUGCAGGCAGAUAAGCAGUUUAUUUGGCAACUUGUCUAGUUAUAAUUAAGCUGAGGUAGUACCUUAUCUGUUCUAGACUGCCAGCCUUCUUGAACAGGUUUGCAACCUUAAAUUUUUCAUUUCCAGUCCUGCUUCAGGAUUGUUAUCUGCCUGUCAUUUGGGUUCCCUUGGUGUCCUUCCUCCCUACCUGCUUACUAUUUUGAAACAACUAUCGGGGGGGGGGGAAGUUCACUGUCUUUCAUGUCAGACAUAUUUCAGUGUCCCAGGUUUAACAGUCAGCAGAAACAUAAGACUUAGGAAAGUUUUAUUUGCAUACUGCUGCUCUCGUAUCGAGUGACCUUGAUGGAGUCAAUAUCUACUGACAUCAAGCAGUAUUUAUUGAACUCCAUUUUAAUUCAAAGUUUAUCUUCCUAGACGAUAGUUACCGUUUUUUCUUCUCACCUUAGACUUGCAGUCUUUAGGUCAUGUAAUUUAUGUAUUAUGCAACAUGCUAGACUGGCAGAAAGCAAUGACUUUUCUUCCUGUGGUCACUUGAAUUCAGGAUCUUGGGCAAGGAAACAUACGUUGUUAUCAGCAAAACAGACAAUGACUACUACAAAACCUGUGGAGAGUGAACAAAGAGAAGUUAUUUUAUGAAGUGUCUGAUCAAAAAUCCUUUCCACUGAGAGAAAAUCAGUCUUGCAUUCCUUAAAGCUGAGCCUCAGCAAAGGUGGCAGUUACACUGGAGGGUUUUGUGAUGAAGAUACCAAGGCAGGGCACAGGCUAACCAACAAAUAGAAGCAGCUUUUAGAUAACCAUCAACCUGGAUUAGAUCCAGACUUGCAGCCCAAAAGGUAAAUGACAUUUAUGUCCUUAGAUGACUAAUAUACUAGUUGUCUGUUCCUGUUGGGUGUAGAUCUUUCAGCUGUAAGCUGUGUCUGAUUUGAGCAGGUUAAAAAGAAACACCAAGAUCUGCAAAAUUCACUGGCUUUUCACCUACUUCUGGAUAUUGGGUGAACAGUCCUCCCAGUGCAAGAGCCAUGCCAAAUAAAGAUCAGCUCAGGACAACGUUCA
rnacentral:lncRNA from 1 species